GACGGAGGGUGCAAGCGUUGUUCGGAAUUACUGGGCGUAAAGGGCGCGUAGGCGGCCUGCUAAGUCAUACGUGAAAUCCCUCGGCUCAACCGAGGAACUGCGUCUGAUACUGGUUGGCUUGAAUUCGGGAGAGGGAUGCGGAAUUCCAGGUGUAGCGGUGAAAUGCGUAGAUAUCAGGAAGAACACCAAUGGCGAAAGCAGCUUUCUGGGACGGUACUGACGCUGAGACGCGAAAGCGUGGGGAGCGAACAGG
rnacentral:rRNA from 1 species